UACGUAGGGUGCAAGCGUUGUCCGGAAUUAUUGGGCGUAAAGAGCUCGUAGGCGGUCUGUCGCGUCGGCUGUGAAAACCCGGAGCUCAACUCCGGGCCUGCAGUCGAUACGGGCAAACUGGAGUACUGCAGGGGAGACUGGAAUUCCUGGUGUAGCGGUGAAAUGCGCAGAUAUCAGGAGGAACACCGGUGGCGAAGGCGGGUCUCUGGGGCAGUAACUGACGCUGGAGGAGCGAAAAGCGUGGGGGAGCGAACAGG
rnacentral:rRNA from 1 species